AAUAAAAAAAAUUAUUUAACUGCCAUUUUGACAGAAUUAUUCAACUUUGCUAUAAAAAAAAAUUUGUCGAAAAACAGUUUUGCCACUUGACUUGUACUUGAAGUGUUCAGCGGAAAACUCGGCGGUGCUGGUAUGUUUGUAUGAAAUCAUCGACACAGCAAACAUCUUUUUACGCAAAAUAACAAAUUUACUGAUUUUUUCAUUACAUUGUGUUUCAUAAAUAGUUCAAUUUCAUCAGAUAGCAACUUAGUAUUUUCCAGACUUGGAAUAUGGAUUUUGGUGCUAAUGCCCGACUUUUGUUCUUGCUGGUAAUUUCAUUACUGAUGCUGUUGCAAGCUAUAGAUAUGGUUGCAUGUCAAGGAAGAGGAGGAGGAAAAAUGGGAUUCGAAGAACAGUUGGAGAUGAAAGAAUAUUGGGAGAAAGUUUUCAAAAAAUAAUGAGAUGAAUGCAUUUUCAGCGAAAUUCUGAACAUACAAGGAAUCCUACUAUAUCCAAUGCUAUUCAUAUACGACACACUAUAGAUCUAACAUAUAUCAACAUCAUAUCGUAUAAAAAUAAAGCUUGAAAAUAAAACUGAAUUGUAAUAAA